rnacentral:rRNA from 1 species
GUACACAAAAAUGCACAUACUGUGAGCUCGAUGAGUAGGGCGGGACACGUGGUAUCCUGUCUGAAUAUGGGGGGACCAUCCUCCAAGGCUAAAUACUCCUGACUGACCGAUAGUGAACCAGUACCGUGAGGGAAAGGCGAAAAGAACCCCGGCGAGGGGAGUGAAAAAGAACCUGAAACCGUGUACGUACAAGCAGUGGGAGCCUCUUUUAUGGGGUGACUGCGUACCUUUUGUAUAAUGGGUCAGCGACUUAUAUUCUGUAGCAAGGUUAACCGAAUAGGGGAGCCGAAGGGAAACCGAGUCUUAACUGGGCGUUAAGUUGCAGGGUAUAGACCCGAAACCCGGUGAUCUAGCCAUGGGCAGGUUGAAGGUUGGGUAACACUAACUGGAGGACCGAACCGACUAAUGUUGAAAAAUUAGCGGAUGACUUGUGGCUGGGGGUGAAAGGCCAAUCAAACCGGGAGAUAGCUGGUUCUCCCCGAAAGCUAUUUAGGUAGCGCCUCGUGAAUUCAUCUCCGGGGGUAGAGCACUGUUUCGGCAAGGGGGUCAUCCCGACUUACCAACCCGAUGCAAACUGCGAAUACCGGAGAAUGUUAUCACGGGAGACACACGGCGGGUGCUAACGUCCGUCGUGAAGAGGGAAACAACCCAGACCGCCAGCUAAGGUCCCAAAGUCAUGGUUAAGUGGGAAACGAUGUGGGAAGGCCCAGACAGCCAGGAUGUUGGCUUAGAAGCAGCCAUCAUUUAAAGAAAGCGUAAUAGCUCACUGGUCGAGUCGGCCUGCGCGGAAGAUGUAACGGGGCUAAACCAUG